UGAGUAAGUCAGAUGAUCGCGUGUGCAGCAAUGCAUACGAGGAAAGUCCGGGCUCCAGAGGGCAGGGUGCCGGGUAAUCCCCGGUGGAGGCGACUCCAAGGAAAGUGCAACAGAGAUAUACCGCGAAGCAGCGGGCUUAGGCCGGCUGCCGCAAGGAUGGAAAGGCGAGGUAAGAGCUCACCAGCGGUUAGGUAACUAACCGGCUAUGUAAACCCCACCUGGAGCAAGACCAAAUAGAGAGACAGUCAGAGCGCAAGCUUUGGCAGGAACGGCCCGUUCCGUCUCCGGGUAAGGUCGCUUGAGCUUGUCGGUGACGUCAAGCCUAGAUAGAUGAUCGUCUAAUACAGAACCCGGCUUAUAGACUUACUCAGAUU
rnacentral:RNase_P_RNA from 2 species